GGCAGGGGCAGCAAGAUGGUGUCACAGACCCAGGUCCUCAUGUCCCUGUUGCUCUGGGUGUCUGGUGCCUAUGGGGACAUCGUGAUGACCCAGUCUCCAGGCUCCCUGGCUGCAUCUGCAGGAGAGACGGUCACCAUCAACUGCAAGUCCAGUCAGAGCAUUAGCAGCUACUUAGCUUGGCACCAGCAGAAACAAGGACAGCCUCAUAGACUGCUGAUCUAUGCAGCCUCUAACCGGGCAACUGGGGUCCCUGACCGCUUCAGUGGCAGUGGGUCUGGCACAGAUUUCACUCUCACCAUCAGCAGCCUCCAGGCUGAAGAUGUGGCAGAUUACUACUGUCAGCAGUAUUAUAGCUCUCCACCCACAGUGCUUCAGUCUUAAUCAAAAACCUCCUUCCUAUGCCCUGGGUCAGUGAUCCUUGCUGUACCAGCUACUUCCUCCUCACAUUUGUGGUUUGGACUGAUUGCUUAGC